rnacentral:rRNA from 1 species
GAUGAACGCUGGCGGCGUGCCUAAUACAUGCAAGUCGAGCGAACAGACAAGGAGCUUGCUCCUUUGACGUUAGCGGCAGACGGGUGAGUAACACGUGGGUAACCUACCUAUAAGACUGGGAUAACUUCGGGAAACCGGAGCUAAUACCGGAUAAUAUUUCGAACCGCAUGGUUCGAUAGUGAAAGAUGGUUUUGCUAUCACUUAUAGAUGGACCCGCGCCGUAUUAGCUAGUUGGUAAGGUAACGGCUUACCAAGGCGACGAUACGUAGCCGACCUGAGAGGGUGAUCGGCCACACUGGAACUGAGACACGGUCCAGACUCCUACGGGAGGCAGCAGUAGGGAAUCUUCCGCAAUGGGCGAAAGCCUGACGGAGCAACGCCGCGUGAGUGAUGAAGGUCUUCGGAUCGUAAAACUCUGUUAUUAGGGAAGAACAUACGUGUAAGUAACUAUGCACGUCUUGACGGUACCUAAUCAGAAAGCCACGGCUAACUACGUGCCAGCAGCCGCGGUAAUACGUAGGUGGCAAGCGUUAUCCGGAAUUAUUGGGCGUAAAGCGCGCGUAGGCGGUUUUUUAAGUCUGAUGUGAAAGCCCACGGCUCAACCGUGGAGGGUCAUUGGAAACUGUAAAACUUGAGUGCAGAAGAGGAAAGUGGAAUUCCAUGUGUAGCGAUGAAAUGCGCAGAGAUAUGGAGGAACACCAGUGGCGAAGGCGACUUUCUGGUCUGUAACUGACGCUGAUGUGCGAAAGCGUGGGGAUCAAACAGGAUUAGAUACCCUGGUAGUCCACGCCGUGAACGAUGAGUGCUAAGUGUUAGGGGGUUUCCGCCCCUUAGUGCUGCAGCUAACGCAUUAAGCACUCCGCCUGGGGAGUACGACCGCAAGGUUGAAACUCAAAGGAAUUGACGGGGACCCGCACAAGCGGUGGAGCAUGUGGUUUAAUUCGAAGCAACGCGAAGAACCUUACCAAAUCUUGACAUCCUUUGACAACUCUAGAGAUAGAGCCUUCCCCUUCGGGGGACAAAGUGACAGGUGGUGCAUGGUUGUCGUCAGCUCGUGUCGUGAGAUGUUGGGUUAAGUCCCGCAACGAGCGCAACCCUUAAGCUUAGUUGCCAUCAUUAAGUUGGGCACUCUAAGUUGACUGCCGGUGACAAACCGGAGGAAGGUGGGGAUGACGUCAAAUCAUCAUGCCCCUUAUGAUUUGGGCUACACACGUGCUACAAUGGACAAUACAAAGGGCAGCGAAACCGCGAGGUCAAGCAAAUCCCAUAAAGUUGUUCUCAGUUCGGAUUGUAGUCUGCAACUCGACUACAUGAAGCUGGAAUCGCUAGUAAUCGUAGAUCAGCAUGCUACGGUGAAUACGUUCCCGGGUCU